UUAAGUUAUUAAGGGCGCACGGUGGAUGCCUUGGCACUAGAAGCCGACGAAGGACGUUACUAACGACGAUAUGCUUUGGGGAGCUGUAAGUAAGCUUUGAUCCAGAGAUUUCCGAAUGGGGAAACCCAGCACGAGUUAUGUCGUGUUAUCGAUAUGUGAAUACAUAGCAUAUCUGAAGGCAGACGCGGAGAACUGAAACAUCUUAGUACCCGCAGGAAGAGAAAGAAAAAUCGAUUCCCUGAGUAGCGGCGAGCGAAACGGGAAGAGCCCAAACCAACGAGCUUGCUUGUUGGGGUUGUAGGACACUCUAUACGGAGUUACAAAAGAACAGACUAGACGAAUCAUCUGGAAAGAUGAAUCAAAGAAGGUAAUAAUCCUGUAGUCGAAAGUUUGUUCACUCUUGAGUGGAUCCUGAGUACGACGGAACACGAGAAAUUCCGUCGGAAUCUGGGAGGACCAUCUCCCAAGGCUAAAUACUCUCUAGUGACCGAUAGUGAACCAGUACCGUGAGGGAAAGGUGAAAAGUACCCCGGAAGGGGAGUGAAAUAGAACUUGAAACCGUGUGCUUACAAGUAGUCAGAGCCCGUUAAUGGGUGAUGGCGUGCCUUUUGUAGAAUGAACCGGCGAGUUACGAUUUGAUGCAAGGUUAAGCAGUGAAUGUGGAGCCGUAGCGAAAGCGAGUCUGAAUAGGGCGUUGAGUAUUUGGUCGUAGACCCGAAACCAGGUGAUCUACCCAUGACCAGGUUGAAGUUCAGGUAACACUGAAUGGAGGACCGAACCGACUUACGUUGAAAAGUGAGCGGAUGAGUUGUGGGUAGCGGAGAAAUUCCAAUCGAACCUGGAGAUAGCUGGUUCUCUCCGAAAUAGCUUUAGGGCUAGCCUCAAGUGAUGAUUAUUGGAGGUAGAGCACUGUUUGGACGAGGGGCCCUUAUCGGGUUACCGAAUUCAGACAAACUCCGAAUGCCAAUCAAUUUAACUUGGGAGUCAGAACGCGGGUGAUAAGGUCCGUGUUCGAAAGGGAAACAGCCCAGACCACCAGCUAAGGUCCCAAAAUAUAUGUUAAGUGGAAAAGGAUGUGGCGUUGCCCAGACAACUAGGAUGUUGGCUUAGAAGCAGCCAUCAUUUAAAGAGUGCGUAAUAGCUCACUAGUCGAGUGACACUGCGCCGAAAAUGUACCGGGGCUAAACAUAUUACCGAAGCUGUGGAUUGUCCGUAAGGACAAUGGUAGGAGAGCGUUCUAAGGGCGUUGAAGCAUGAUCGCAAGGACAUGUGGAGCGCUUAGAAGUGAGAAUGCCGGUGUGAGUAGCGAAAGACGGGUGAGAAUCCCGUCCACCGAUUGACUAAGGUUUCCAGAGGAAGGCUCGUCCGCUCUGGGUUAGUCGGGUCCUAAGCUGAGGCCGAUAGGCGUAGGCGAUGGAUAACAGGUUGAUAUUCCUGUACCACCAUUAUUCGUUUUAAGCGAUGGGGGGACGCAGUAGGAUAGGCGAAGCGUACGAUUGGAUUGUACGUCCAAGCAGUGAGAUUGAGUGUUAGGCAAAUCCGGCACUCUUAAGAUUGAGCUGUGAUGGGGAGAGGAAAUUGUUUCCUCGAGUCGUUGAUUUCACACUGCCAAGAAAAGCCUCUAGCUAGAAUUGUGGUGCCCGUACCGCAAACCGACACAGGUAGUCAAGAUGAGAAUUCUAAGGUGAGCGAGCGAACUCUCGUUAAGGAACUCGGCAAAAUGACCCCGUAACUUCGGGAAAAGGGGUGCUCUUUAGGGUUAACGCCCAGGAGAGCCGCAGUGAAUAGGCCCAAGCGACUGUUUAUCAAAAACACAGGUCUCUGCUAAACCGUAAGGUGAUGUAUAGGGGCUGACGCCUGCCCGGUGCUGGAAGGUUAAGAGGAGUGGUUAGCUUCUGCGAAGCUACGAAUCGAAGCCCCAGUAAACGGCGGCCGUAACUAUAACGGUCCUAAGGUAGCGAAAUUCCUUGUCGGGUAAGUUCCGACCCGCACGAAAGGCGUAACGAUUUGGGCACUGUCUCAACGAGAGACUCGGUGAAAUCAUAGUACCUGUGAAGAUGCAGGUUACCCGCGACAGGACGGAAAGACCCCGUGGAGCUUUACUGUAGUCUGAUAUUGAAAUUCGGCACAGCUUGUACAGGAUAGGUAGGAGCCUGAGAUACGUGAGCGCUAGCUUACGUGGAGGCGUUGGUGGGAUACUACCCUCGCUGUGUUGGAUUUCUAACCCGCACCAUUUAUCAUGGUGGGAGACAGUGUCAGAUGGGCAGUUUGACUGGGGCGGUCGCCUCCUAAAGAGUAACGGAGGCGCUCAAAGGUUUCCUCAGAAUGGUUGGAAAUCAUUCAUAGAGUGUAAAGGCAUAAGGAAGCUUGACUGCGAGACUUACAAGUCGAGCAGGGUCGAAAGACGGACUUAGUGAUCCGGUGGUUCCGCAUGGAAGGGCCAUCGCUCAACGGAUAAAAGCUACCCCGGGGAUAACAGGCUUAUCUCCCCCAAGAGUUCACAUCGACGGGGAGGUUUGGCACCUCGAUGUCGGCUCAUCGCAUCCUGGGGCUGUAGUCGGUCCCAAGGGUUGGGCUGUUCGCCCAUUAAAGCGGUACGCGAGCUGGGUUCAGAACGUCGUGAGACAGUUCGGUCCCUAUCCGUCGUGGGCGUAGGAAAUUUGAGAGGAGCUGUCCUUAGUACGAGAGGACCGGGAUGGACAUACCUCUGGUGUACCAGUUGUCGUGCCAACGGCAUCGCUGGGUAGCUAUGUAUGGACGGGAUAAGUGCUGAAAGCAUCUAAGCAUGAAGCCCCCCUCAAGAUGAGAUUUCCCAACUUCGGUUAUAAGAUCCCUCAAAGAUGAUGAGGUUAAUAGGUUCGAGGUGGAAGCAUAGCGAUAUGUGCAGCUGACGAAUACUAAUCGAUCGAAGACUUAAUCAA
rnacentral:rRNA from 2 species